CAAAUUUGUCCCAAAUUUCUUGUCUUAGAUUUGUCUAGAUACAGAUGUAUCUAAUACUAAAAUGUGACUUGAUACAUCCGUAUCUAGACAAAUCUAAGACAAGAAUUUUGGGACGGAGGGAGUACUUU
rnacentral:pre_miRNA from 1 species